rnacentral:rRNA from 1 species
GUGCCAGCAGCCGCGGUAAUACGUAGGGGGCAAGCGUUGUCCGGAAUCAUUGGGCGUAAAGAGCGUGUAGGCGGCCUGAUAAGUCGGUUGUGAAAGUCAAGGGCUCAACCCUUGAAUGCCGGCCGAUACUGUCAGGCUAGAGUCCGGAAGAGGCGAGUGGAAUUCCUGGUGUAGCGGUGAAAUGCGCAGAUAUCAGGAGGAACACCGAUGGCGAAGGCAGCUCGCUGGGACGGUACUGACGCUGAGACGCGAAAGCGUGGGGAGCGAACAGGAUUAGAUACCCUGGUAGUCC